rnacentral:lncRNA from 1 species
CCGGGGCGGUCUAUAGGCUCCCAUUGUUUGGUUAUCAUGUAUUCACUAGAUUUAUCUACUAGAGAGCGUUCUAUGGGAUCCCCUGUUGGGUCUAUAGGAUCACCUGUUGUGUUAUAAUCGUGUAUCUGCUAUAGGGCGUUCUAUAGGUUCCCCGGGGCGGUCUAUAGGAUCUUCUUUUGGUUGUUAAUCAUGAAUCUAUGACAGGUUGUUCUAUAGGAUCCCCUGGGCGGUCUAUAGGACCCCGUAUUGUUUAAUAAUCGCAUAUUUGCUAUAGGGAAUUCUUUGGGAUCCCCGGGUCGGUCCAUAGGAUCCUCUGUUGUUUGUUCAACAUGUUUCUUCUAGAGGGUGUUCCAUAAAAUCCCAGGGUCGGUCUAUAGGAGCCCUGUAGUUUUUUCAUCAUGUAUCUAUUAGAGGGCGUUAUAUAUAUAUGCUCCCAUAGGCGUUCUUUAUGAUCCCUUGUGGUUUAAUAAUUGUGUAUCUGCUAUAGGGCGUUCUAAAGGAUCCCGGGGCGGUCUAUAGGAUCCCCUGUUGUUUGUUCAUAAUGUAUCUAUAACAGGUUGUUCUAUACGAUCCCCUGGGCUGUCUAUAGGAUACCCUGUUGGUUGUUCAUCAUGUAUCUAUAACAGGUUGUUCUAUACGAUCCCCUGGGCGGUCUAUAAGAUCCCCUUUUGUUUAAUAAUCGCGCAUAUUCUAUAGUGCGUUCUAUAGGAUCCCCGGGUCUGUCUAUAGGAUCCCCUAUUGUUUAUACCUUGGCGGUCUAUAUGAUCCCCUUUUGUUUAAUAAUCGCGCAUAUUCUAUAGUGCGUUCUAUAGGAUCCCUGUGUCUGUCUAUAGGAUCCCCUAUUGUUUAAUAACCUUGCAUCUGCUAUAGGGCGUUCUAUGUUAUCCCUUUCAAAGGUCGAGGGGGCAUAUUGUUAUUGGUUGUUUUUUUUUUCUUUUCUUUUUCCCCAUAAUUUUAUUGUCCCGACAAAUUCUCGGAAAAGGAUAGACACAUUCAUCUUUAUGGAAUUAUGGCAUAAUGUAAACCAUUAUAUAAAGUUGUGCUUUUUAAUAAGGGGAUGGUCCAAGAUGGUCUCGAUUACUAUAAACACUGGUCAACAGUAUUUUUUUUUAAUGUUUUUUGUAUAUAAUUCUAGUAUUCCUGAGCAUAGAACCAUGAUAUUCAAUAUACAAAGUAGGUGUCAACAAUUUGUAUGAUCCUCAGAACUACAUGUACCUAGCAGCAGUAGGUAGUUGUGUUUUUUUAGUAUAAAUUUUAUUUCAAAAUUGCUGACGGUAACCUAGCAAUGGCAAGGUCGUCUGGCAACUUGACAACAGUAUGACAUCCGCCUUUGCUCGCAAUGGCAAUUCUAUUUGUUUUCGUAUUCUUAUGGAUUUGUACAGACAGGAGAAAAGAAAUUGACCCGUCUUUUAAUAUCCCUUUCCGAUAUAUUGAUGAUGUACUGUCUAUUAAUGAUAAUAGAUUCAAUGAGUAUAUAUGGCAAGCCGUUUUACUAUUUAUUCUAACUUCAAGAUAGCUCAUAUAAUAUAUCAGAUAUUUCAAAUGAUAUAUAAAAUCUC